UACGUAGGGAGCUAGCGUUGUCCGGAAUCAUUGGGCGUAAAGAGCGUGUAGGCGGUCCGGUAAGUCCGCUGUGAAAGUCGGGGGCUCAACCCUCGAAUGCCGGUGGAUACUGUCGGGCUAGAGUGCGGAAGAGGCGAGUGGAAUUCCUGGUGUAGCGGUGAAAUGCGCAGAUAUCGGGAGGAACACCAGUAGCGAAGGCGGCUCGCUGGGCCAUUCCUGACGCUGAGACGCGAAAGCUAGGGGAGCGAACAGG
rnacentral:rRNA from 1 species